AACGAACGCUGGCGGCAUGCCUAACACAUGCAAGUCGAACGAGACCUUCGGGUCUAGUGGCGCACGGGUGCGUAACGCGUGGGAACCUGCCCUUAGGUUCGGCAUACCUCCCCGAAAGGGGUGCUAAUACCGGAUAAUGUCUUCGGACCAAAGAUUUAUCGCCUUUGGAUGGGCCCGCGUUGGAUUAGCUAGUUGGUAGGGUAAAAGCCUACCAAGGCGACGAUCCAUAGCUGGUCUGAGAGGAUGGUCAGCCACACUGGGACUGAGACACGGCCCAGACUCCUACGGGAGGCAGCAGUGGUGAAUAUUGGACAAUGGGCGAAAGCCUGAUCCAGCAAUGCCGCGUGAGUGAUGAAGGCCGUAGGGUUGUAAAGCUCUUUUACCCGGGAUGAUAAUGACAGUACCGGGAGAAUAAGCGCCGGCUAACUCCGUG
rnacentral:rRNA from 1 species